rnacentral:lncRNA from 1 species
UGCUAUUGUAGUAAUUUUCUUAUUGACCUUAGAAGACACCACUUUGUGUGAUAGCCAAGAGUAUCCCUCUUGCCCUCAUCUGCAGGGACAAAUUCCAAUAUCAAUGCCAAAUUUUACUAAUGAGGCAAAGGUAAUUGUAUCAACACCUUUGAUCAUUUGAAUAUUUUGGGGUCAUGUAAAAUUUGAAUUGCUCAAGGCUAAGUAAAUGUUUUUUAAUCGUGAGACCAACAACAUACUGUGGUUAACAUAAACACCUGAAAGUUUGUGGUCGACAUCUUUACUGUUGUGUUUACAUGUACCAUCGUGUUAAAAAUCAAACAUCAAAUGACAAAUGUAAUAUGUCUAUGGAAAGAGGUAAAAACAUUGGGUGACCAUAUCUUCAAGUCAUGAUGAGUUAUACUUUUCUUCGUUUUAUAUAACAUGCAAACUAAACUACAGAGCAUACAGGGGAUCCUAACAGAAGUAAAAAAUAUUAAUGAAA